rnacentral:rRNA from 1 species
GUCUACGGCCAUACCACCCUGAACGCACCCCAUCUCGUCUGAUCUUGGAAGCUAAGCAGGGUUGGGCCUAAAACCAGGACAUAUUCUAAAGCUCUGAUUUACCCCCACCGAAUGUCUUGGAGA